rnacentral:rRNA from 1 species
CUUCGUCCGAAAGGUGAGCGGUACGAUUAGAAAUGUCCGUGGGGCCUCGCGAGAUGUGGGAGUGGUAAAUCCGCCCACGCAAAAUCAAGUGAGGUAACUGAGUGCGUUUAUGUUCACGAAAUCAUCGGCAGGACGUUCAAGAAAAGCUUCGUAGGGUUAAAACCUAGUUGACCGUACUAAAACUGACACAGGUAGGCGAGACGAGUAGUCUAAGGCGCUCGGGAGAAUAGUGGUUAAGGAACUCUGCAAAAUGACCCCGUAAGUUCGCGAUAAGGGGUGCCGGGAGCGGUUUACGCUGCCCCCGGCCACAGUAAAUCGGCUUCUGCGACUGUUUAUCAAAAACACAGGACUCUGCUAACACGUAAGUGGAUGUAUAGAGUCUGACGCCUGCCCGGUGUCGGUAGGUUAAGGUAGAGGGUUAGCCGCAAGGCGAAGCUCACGACCGAAGCCCCGAUAAACGGCGGCCGUAACUAUGACGGUCCUAAGGUAGCGAAGCUCCUUGUCGGGUAUGUUCCGACCUGCAUGAGAGGCGCAACGACAGAAGCACUGUCUCAACCACUAACCCGGUGAAAUUGUAGUCGUGGUGAAGAUGCCACGUUCCCGCAGCUAGACGGAAAGACCCCGUGAACCUUCACUGUAGGCUGAUAUUGGGCUCGUGUUUAAACUGUGUAGGAUAGGUGGGAGGCUUCGAUCCUCAUGCGCCAGCAUGAGGGGAGCCGUCGGUGAAAUACCACCCUUUUUAUGCAUAAGUUCUAACGUUGAUUCCCGUGUAACCGGGCAACGGACAGUGUCAGUUGGGCAGUUUGACUGGGGCGGUCUCCUCCUAAAGAGUAACGGAGGAGCCCAAUAGGUACCCUCAGCCUGGUUGGUAAUCAGGCUUCGAGCGUAAAGGUAGAAGGGUGCUAAACUGCGAGACUUAUCAGUCGAGCAGGUACGAAAGUAGGGCUUAGUGAUCCGGUAAUCCCGUGUGGAAGGGUUAUCGCUCAACAGAUAAAAGGUACUCCGGGGAUAACAGGCUUAUCGCUCCCGAGCGUCCAUAGCGGCGGAGCGGUUUGGCACCUCGAUGUCGGCUCAUCACAUCCUGGGGGUGGAGAAGCUCCCAAGGGUUCGGCUGUUCGCCGAUGAAAGUGGUACGUGAGCUGGGUUCAGACCGUCGUGAGACAGGUCGGUCCCUAUCUACUGUGGGCGCACGAAACUUGCGGAGGUUCUUCUUUAGUACGAGAGGAUUUAGAAGGACAGCCCUCUGGUGUUCCAGUUGUCGCGCUAGCGGCAUGGCUGGAUAGCUAUGGCUGGAUAGGAUAAACGCUGAAGGCAUCUAAGCGUGAAGCCCGCUCCAAGAUCAGGUUUCGUAGAGCAAUUGCUCGAAAGUCCCCUGGAAGACGACCAGGUUGAUAGGCCGGAUGUGUAAGCGUAGCAAUACGUUCAGCUAACCGGUACUAACGGACGAACGCUUGGCCG